rnacentral:rRNA from 1 species
GACGAACGCUGGCGGCGUGCUUAACACAUGCAAGUCGAACGGAAAGGCCCUGCUCUUGUGGGGUGCUCGAGUGGCGAACGGGUGAGUAACACGUGAGUAACCUGCCCUUGACUUUGGGAUAACUUCAGGAAACUGGGGCUAAUACCGGAUAGGAGCUCCUGCUUCAUGGUGGGGGUUGGAAAGUUUCGGCUGUUGGGGAUGGACUGGCGGCUUAUCAGCUUGUUGGUGGGGUAGUGGCUUACCAAGGCUUUGACGGGUAGCCGGCCUGAGAGGGUGACCGGCAACAUUGGGACUGAGCUACGAACGAGAGUCCUACGGGAGGCAGCAGUGGGGAUUAUUGCGCAAUGGACGGAAGCCUGAGGUUGAAGCGCUGCGUGCGGGAUAACGGCAUUCGGGUUGUCAAACGCUUUCGGCUGUGACGAAGCGUGAGUGACGGUAAUGGGUAAAGAAGCACCGGGUAACUACGUG